AUUGAACGCUAGCGGGAUGCUUUACACAUGCAAGUCGAACGGCAGCGCGGACUUCGGUCUGGCGGCGAGUGGCGAACGGGUGAGUAAUGUAUCGGAACGUGCCCAGUAGCGGGGGAUAACUACGCGAAAGCGUAGCUAAUACCGCAUACGCCCUACGGGGGAAAGCAGGGGAUCGUAAGACCUUGCACUAUUGGAGCGGCCGAUAUCGGAUUAGCUAGUUGGUGAGGUAACGGCUCACCAAGGCGACGAUCCGUAGCUGGUUUGAGAGGACGACCAGCCACACUGGGACUGAGAAACGGCCCAGACUCCUACGGGAGGCAGCAGUGGGGAAUUUUGGACAAUGGGGGCAACCCUGAUCCAGCCAUCCCGCGUGUGCGAUGAAGGCCUUCGGGUUGUAAAGCACUUUUGGCAGGAAAGAAACGUCGCGGGCUAAUACCCCGUGGAACUGACGGUACCUGAAGAAUAAGCACCGGCUAACUACGUG
rnacentral:rRNA from 1 species